UACCUGUCGCCCGAGGCUGUCUCUGCCGCCUCUGCCUCUGCCUCUGUCUCGGCCGCUGGCGUUGCCGACGCUAAAUGGAAACGUUUUGACGCGUUAUAAUAACAAGUGUUUGCCGUCUUUGGGCAUUCAGUGUGCGAUAUCCCGGCGGUGCAGACAACUACGUUCGCCGCACACUGACAGCUAUUUAGCUACCUAGAGAAAAAUCCGACUCUAUAUUCAAAAAAUUCAAAUUACCAAACCCCCAAAAAGAACUAUUCGCGAAGAAAAAAACACUCAAAGUUCGAUAUUAAAUGAACAAAUAAAACGCAAAACACACACAGAGAAGAAACCUUAAAGCCCUCAAAACCCUUUUGCAUUUCGAAUGAAAAAAUUGUGUUUUUUUUAUGGUUACUGUUGGUGAUAAAUCAAGAAAAAAGUAUUGUAAUAUAACCGAGUUACAUAUAGUCACAAUAUCGCGUCAAAAGUCUCGAUUUAUUUAUACAAAUUGAUUUAGAUAUUCAAUUGCGCGCGCGCCCAAUGAAAAGUUACCUGAAAAGUGAAAAGAAAAGAAAAGAUAAAGGAUAAAGGAAACCCCCCAUCCAGUGAAUCCAAACCCCAUCACCAAUAGUUGAUAAACCAUAUCAACGGUCCGGUGACUAAGCUCAGUCACAGCCUCAGUCCUUCUACCUCCACCUCGCUCCCCCAGAACAUCAUCCCACCCCCCAAAAACCAACACACACACACACACACACAAGCAGCGAAGACACGACGCGACAGAGACGAGAGCAGCAGACGCAAGAAACCUUCGAACUAAAAUGUAAACCGAAACGCGUCCACACAGCUUCCCAUAGGAUUCUUUCAAUUUCAUUCCAAUCUGUAAAUGUUCCCCAAGCGUCGCCCCGCACUCCUUUCCAGGCAGAAGGUGCGCGAAGCAAUUUACAGCAUUCCUGCAAAGUUCUAGUUUAAUUCAUUCAAUUAAAUGGAAUUAACUUAAAUCAAUUACAAACUAUUUAUUGAGAACCAAAUCGUGUGAUAUUUCCAACUACCAUAAUUUUUUGUUUUUUGUUUAGUCAUAGAGAAGAUAAAAAGAAUAUAAAAAAGCUCAAACAAAAACAAAAA